rnacentral:rRNA from 1 species
CCUACGGGUGGCAGCAGUGGGGAAUAUUGCGCAAUGGGCGAAAGCCUGACGCAGCGACGCCGCGUGAGGGUUGAAGGUCUUCGGAUCGUAAACCUCUGUCAGCAGGGAAGAACGGUCACUGUGCUAAUCAGCAGUGAAUUGACGGUACCUGCAAAGGAAGCAACGGCUAACUCCGUGCCAGCAGCCGCGGUAAUACGGCGGGUGCGAGCGUUAAUCGUAAUUACUGGGCGUAAGGCGCUCGUAGGCGGUAUGUCAAGUCAAGGGUGAAAUCCCCGCGCUCAACGUGGGAACUGCCUUUGAAACUGGCAGACUGGAGUGUGUGAGAGGAUAGUGGAAUUCCAGGUGUAGGAGUGAAAUCCGUAGAUAUCUGGAGGAACAUCAGUGGCGAAGGCGACUAUCUGGCACAUAACUGACGCUGAGGAGCGAAAGCGUGGGUAGCAAACAGGAUUAGAUACCCCAGUAGUC